GGCGAAAGACUAAUCGAACCAUCUAGUAGCUGGUUCCUCCCGAAAUUUCCCUUAGGAUAGCACCAACCACAUAAAAGUAGUUGCAUCUGGUAAAGCGAAUGAUUAAAGAAUGCGGGGGUGCAAUGCCCUUGGUCUGUUCUCAAACUUUGAAUGGGUGCGACGUGUCUUGUUGCUUGAUUGAACAGACACUUUAUAGA
rnacentral:rRNA from 14 species